rnacentral:rRNA from 1 species
CACGUAGGGCGCAAGCGUUGUCCGGAAUUAUUGGGCGUAAAGAGCUCGUAGGCGGUCUGUUGCGUCGGGAGUGAAAACUCAGGGCUUAACCCUGAGCCUGCUUCCGAUACGGGCAGACUAGAGGUAUGCAGGGGAGAACGGAAUUCCUGGUGUAGCGGUGAAAUGCGCAGAUAUCAGGAGGAACACCGGUGGCGAAGGCGGUUCUCUGGGCAUUACCUGACGCUGAGGAGCGAAAGUGUGGGGAGCGAACAGG